rnacentral:rRNA from 1 species
UACGUAGGCAGCGAGCGUUGUUCGGAGUUACUGGGCGUAAAGGGUGCGUAGGCGGUUGUUUAAGUUUGGUGUGAAAUCUCCCGGCUCAACUGGGAGGGUGCGCCGAAUACUGAAUGACUAGAGUGCGGGAGAGGAUAGUGGAAUUCCUGGUGUAGCGGUGAAAUGCGCAGAUAUCAGGAAGAACACCCGUGGCGAAGGCGGCUCUCUGGUACGUGACUGACGCUGAGACGCGAAAGCGUGGGGAGCAAACAGG